rnacentral:rRNA from 1 species
CAGUAGCCGCGGGAAUACAGAGGGUGCGAGCGUUAAUCGGAAUUACUGGGCGUAAAGCGCGCGUAGACGGUUUUGUAAGUCAGAUGUGAAAUUCCCGGGCUUAACCUGGGAACUGCGCUUGUGACUGCACAGCUAGAGUAUGGCAGAGGGGGGUGGAACUCCACGUGUAGCAGUGAAAUGCGUAGAGAUGUGGAGGAACACCGAUGGCGAAGGCAGCCCCCUGGGCCAAUACUGACGCUCAUGCACGAAAGCGUGGGGAGCAAACAGGAUUAGAUACCCGCGUAGUCCCUGUCUCUUAUAC